rnacentral:rRNA from 1 species
GUGUCAGCAGCCGCGGUAAAACGUAGGAUCCGAGCGUUAUCCGAAUUCACUGGGCGUAAAGCGCGUGUAGGCGGUUCGGUAAGUUGGAUGUGAAAUCUCCUGGCUCAACUGGGAGGGGACGUUCAAUACUGUCGGACUAGAGGACGGCAGAGGAAGGUGGAAUUCCCGGUGUAGUGGUGAAAUGCGUAGAUAUCGGGAGGAACACCAGUGGCGAAGGCGGCCUUCUGGGCCGUUUCUGACGCUCAGACGCGAAAGCUAGGGGAGCAAACGGGAUUAGAUACCCCAGUAGUCC